AGCAAAUGCCUCAAGUUCAGUUUGGGGCGGCAUCUCUGUUCUGUUUAUUAAACUUUGGGUCAUUGAACCAGUUAGGGGAAAUGACUGAAUAGAACAUUUUACUCUAUUCAUUUACGUCCCAGCCUAAAAAA